GCACCCGUAGCUCAAUUGGAUAGAGCACUCGGCUACGAACCGAGCGAUCGGAGGUUCAAAUCCUCUCGGGUGUA
rnacentral:tRNA from 2 species